AUGUCCCUUGUGCAAGAUACAAAUAUAAGAUGAGUAUCACAGUGUAAUUAGCUCAAGUUUUACUCAUACAUUUUGAUCAGACAACAAAUUGCAUAGUCCACUACAUUCUGGUAACAUUCACAUCAGGCAUUGUACAGGUGUGACUUCCCCUCAAGUCUUCAGUAUCCUCUUGUUUUUGAACAAUGUUUAGGCCAUUAUUGGUGAACAUUGAUGCUAGUUGCCAC